rnacentral:rRNA from 1 species
AGAACGACUCUCGGCAACGGAUAUCUCGGCUCUCGCAUCGAUGAAGAACGUAGCGAAAUGCGAUACUUGGUGUGAAUUGCAGAAUCCCGUGAACCAUCGAGUCUUUGAACGCAAGUUGCGCCCGAAGCCUUCUGGCCAAGGGCACGUCUGUCUGGGCGUCACGC